CUUUUUGUGAUGUUUUUAAAGGCAGGAAGUUAGGAAGAGAAACAUUAAAGGGCCUUCAGAGUUCAGAAAAAACACUCAAAGUCAGUCAAUGACAAACACAUCCAAAAAGGUAAUUUUGUCAAGUUUUAGAACAGAUACUAGCUUCAGUGCUAACAAACAUGCACUAAAGUCCACUAAACUCUAUUUUGGAUUCUUUUGGAUCUUUAAACUCAAACAUUUGACAUAAGUCAGAGCUGCUCUUAUACGAUUGCUGCUGUAAGUGGGCAAGCUCUCAGUGUGGAGUGGCUGCUCUCCAGAUGGAGGAGAGGGGUUUGGAUUGGAGGCCGAGCUGCGUGGGAUGUGAGAAAUGAGACGCUUCGGUACAUGUUGCUUGUUGAUAUCUCAGCAGCUUUAACUGAGUCAUGAUACUGAUGUGAUUACAUGGUGCGGAUGUUUCCUUGUUAAAAAGCUAAAAAGCUCAACUAAACACAACAGUUGUCCAAAGUGCUCUACAAAAAAGGACACUUGAUAAAAUAUGCUAUAAAAUAGUAUUUAUUUCUUGACCGAUUAGGAAAAAUAAAUUGUCAUUGUGUAGUAAGGCAAAUGAGAUAUAAAGCCAAUUUUCAAAUGUUUAUACAAUAAAAUCCAUAGAUGAUGAAUUUGUUUUUCAUUUUCAAUUUGGGUUUUUAAGUACCUUUUUCUUAAUAUUUAUGUAUUUAUUUAGUCCCCUUAUUAUUUGCAAUUGUAAAUAAGUCAGUUUAAAGCAGUAUUGCAUUAUUUAUUGCACAAUUUAGCAUGAUUGAGCAAAACCUGAGCAUUUCUAAACAAUCAUGUUAGAAAUUUUCACUACUGUUCAAAAGUUUGG
ensembl:lncRNA